GAGGGUAUAGCUUAGUGGUAGAGCGCAUGCUUAACAUGCACGAGGUCCUGGGUUCAAUCCCCGGUACCCCCU
rnacentral:tRNA from 1 species